UACAGAGGUCCCAAGCGUUGUUCGGAUUCACUGGGCGUAAAGAGCUCGUAGGUGGUUUGUCGCGUUGUUCGUGAAAACUCACAGCUCAACUGUGGGCGUGCGGGCGAUACGGGCAGACUAGAGUACUGCAGGGGAGACUGGAAUUCCUGGUGUAGCGGUGGAAUGCGCAGAUAUCAGGAGGAACACCGGUGGCGAAGGCGGGUCUCUGGGCAGUAACUGACGCUGAGGAGCGAAAGCGUGGGGAGCGAACAGG
rnacentral:rRNA from 1 species